rnacentral:rRNA from 1 species
GCAGGGGGGAUGCUUACACAUGCAGUCGAGCGGCAGCAUGCCCUUCGGGGUGAUGGCGAGCGGCGGACGGGUGAGUAAUACAUAGGAAUCUGCCCUAGAGUGGGGGAUAGCCCGGGGAAACUCGGAUUAAUACCGCAUAAUCUCUACGGAGCAAAGUGGGGGAUCUUCGGACCUCACGCUUUAGGAUGAGCCUAUGGCCGAUUAGCUUGUUGGUGAGGUAACGGCUCACCAAGGCCACGAUCGGUAGCUGGUUUGAGAGGAUGAUCAGCCACACUGGGACUGAGACACGGCCCAGACUCCUACGGGAGGCAGCAGUGGGGAAUAUUGGACAAUGGGCGAAAGCCUGAUCCAGCAAUUCCGCGUGUGUGAAGAAGGCCUUAGGGUUGUAAAGCACUUUAAUCAGGGAAGAAAAAGCUUUGGCUAAUAUCCAAAGCCUUGACGGUACCUGAAGAAUAAGCACCGGCAAACUCUGUGCCAGCAGCCGCGGUAAUACAGAGGGUGCGAGCGUUAAUCGGAUUUACUGGGCGUAAAGCGUGCGUAGGAGGCUUGUUAAGUCGGUUGUGAAAUCCCCGGGCUCAACCUGGGAACUGCAGUCGAUACUGGCAAGCUAGAGUUCGGUAGAGGGUGGUGGAAUUUCCGGUGUAGCGGUGAAAUGCGUAGAGAUCGGAAGGAACACCAAUGGCGAAGGCAACCACCUGGGCCUGAACUGA